rnacentral:rRNA from 1 species
UCAGUUCGGAUUGUAGUCUGCAACUCGACUACAUGAAGCUGGAAUCGCUAGUAAUCGCGGAUCAGAAUGCCGCGGUGAAUACGUUCCCGGGUCUUGUACACACCGCCCGUCACACCAUGGGAGUCAGUAACGCCCGAAGCCGGUGACCCAACCUAUUCUGGAGGGAGCCGUCGAAGGCGGGACGGAUGACUGGGGGUGAAGUCGUAACAAGGUACC